CCGAAAGAUGCUGGCGGACUUCUCAGGGUCUUCGCACGUGUGGACUUGAUCUUCUUUGAUUUGAGCAAAUCCUUCUGUUCUGAGAAAUUGUUUAACCUGCUGGCAUCUUCAGAAAGGCUGGGCUGGAUCUUCCCCAGCAAGGCCUUCUAGCUGCCACUUUGUUUCCUUCACCCAUUUCUCUUUGGCCAGACUGUGAGGAAGCAGUAAAUGUUCUUCAAAUUCUGUAACUGAUCCGGACGAAGAAUGGAUUGGUGUCUGUAAGCAAG